GACGGGGGGGGCAAGUGUUCUUCGGAAUGACUGGGCGUAAAGGGCACGUAGGCGGUGAAUCGGGUUGAAAGUGAAAGUCGCCAAAAAGUGGCGGAAUGCUCUCGAAACCAAUUCACUUGAGUGAGACAGAGGAGAGUGGAAUUUCGUGUGUAGGGGUGAAAUCCGUAGAUCUACGGAGGAACGCCGAAGGCGAAGGCAGCUCUCUGGGUCCCUACCGACGCUGGGGUGCGAAAGCGUGGGGAGCGAACAGG
rnacentral:rRNA from 1 species